AGAGACUCAAAUAAAUUAGCAAGAAAAGACCCCAAACAAUCCCAUCAAGAAGUGAGCUAAGGACACGAAUGGAUAAUUCUCAAAAGAAGUUACACAAAUGGCCAAGAAAUGUAUGAAAAAAUGCUUAACG